ensembl:snRNA U6 U6 spliceosomal RNA
GUGCUCUGGCAGUACAUACACUAAAACUGUGAAAGACACAGAGGAGAUGAACGUUGCCCUUGCACAACGUUGACAUGCAAAUUCCUGAAGCAGUCCACAGCUUU